rnacentral:rRNA from 1 species
GGGGGUUUGGAAAUGGACCAAAGUCGAUCAGCAUUUCUGUGUGGCGAUGAAGGUUUUCGGAUGUAAAGUGUUUUCAUCGGGAAGAAAGAAAUGACGGUACCUCCUGAAUAAUCGACGGCUAACUACGUGCCACCACCCGCGGUAUACGUGCCAGCAGCCGCGGUAAUA